UUCACAGUCACUCUGUCCUGUCUCUCUGUGCUCUCCCACUGCCCAACUACACGUCCCCAGGUGUGGAUUGAUGUCACUUCUAUUCACAAUACUUGCAAAAGUGCAAAAGAGAUGGGAACAACUAACAACAGUCCAAGGUCUAAAAGAAAGAGAGAGCUGGUCUUACUCUUGACGUCCCAGAGAAUGUCCUGCUCGGGCGGAGCGGCGUACAGGAUGAAGAGGCGCACCGUGUCG